GACGAGGGGUCCAAGCGUUGUUCGGAAUCAUUGGGCGUAAAGCGGGUGUAGGCGGCCUUAUAAGUCAGAAGUGAAAGCCCCGAGCUCAACUUGGGAAGUGCUUUUGAUACUGCAAGGCUUGAAUGUGGGAGAGGGUAGUGGAAUUCCAGGUGUAGUGGUGCAGUACGUAGAUAUCUGGAGGAACACCGGUGGCGAAGGCGGCUACCUGGCCCGACAUUGACGCUGAGACCCGAAAGCAUGGGGAUCAAACAGG
rnacentral:rRNA from 1 species